rnacentral:lncRNA from 1 species
UUUUUUUUUUUUGAGACCGAGUCUCGCUCUGUCGCCCAGGCUGGAUACAGUGUCUUAUGAUUAUUAAAACCUUUUCUGCAAGCUGGUCUGCUUUGUGUGUUAAACAUGCAAAGUGUUUACACUUACCAACUGAUUCCUUUUCCAUUCGUUUUCUUAGUCACUAAUGCUUUCCAAUGGUCAUGAGUGCUUUUAAUAAUAUCAAUGGCAAAGUCCUAUAAUUUGAAGAGGUUUGCAUUACAAUGAUAAAAAGGUAUUAUUUUCCUAUUAUCAACAUUUCCCCAAAGCCUGAUACUUUGUCUCUUCUGAAUCAUUUCCUUAUUCUAAAAAUGGAAGAGAAUAUUAAAGUGAAUAAAUAAACACCAAGACUGUGUUAUGUUUCCAGACUUCUGUUUUGUGAAUCUUUAGAUGGUAACAAUAUGGUUAAAUUAUGAGUCUCAAUACAAAUGAGCCUAAAGCUACAGUUCUGAAUGACAUAUUACCUUAUCUUUAAAUUCUGC